GUGCAGCCGCCGCGGUCAUACCGGCAGCCCGAGUGAUGGCCGAUAUUAUUGGGCCUAAAGCGUCCGUAGCUGGCCGAACAAGUCCGUCGGGAAAUCCACGUGCUUAACACGUGGGCGACCGGCGGAAACUGUUCGGCUUGGGGCCGGAGGACCCGAGGGGUACGUCCGGGGUAGGAGUGAAAUCCUGUAAUCCUGGACGGACCGCCGGUGGCGAAAGCGCCUCGGGAAGACGGACCCGACAGUGAGGGACAAAAGCUGGGAUCUCGAACCGGAUUAGAAAUCCCGGUAGUCC
rnacentral:rRNA from 1 species